rnacentral:rRNA from 1 species
UGGGGAAUUUUGGACAAUGGGCGAAAGCCUGAUCCAGCAAUGCCGCGUGUGUGAAGAAGGCCUUCGGGUUGUAAAGCACUUUUGUCCGGAAAGAAAUCCUUGGCUCUAAUACAGUCGGGGGAUGACGGUACCGGAAGAAUAAGCACCGGCUAACUACGUGCCAGCAGCCGCGGUAAUACGUAGGGUGCAAGCGUUAAUCGGAAUUACUGGGCGUAAAGCGUGCGCAGGCGGUUUGCUAAGACCGAUGUGAAAUCCCCGGGCUCAACCUGGGAACUGCAUUGGUGACUGGCAGGCUAGAGUAUGGCAGAGGGGGGUAGAAUCCCACGUGUAGCAGUGAAAUGCGUAGAGAUGUGGAGGAAUACCGAUGGCGAAGGCAGCCCCCUGGGCCAAUACUGACGCUCAUGCACGAAAGCGUGGGGAGCAAACAGGAUUAGAUACCCUGGUAGUCCACGCCCUAAACGAUGUCAACUAGUUGUUGGGGAUUCAUUUCCUUAGUAACGUAGCUAACGCGUGAAGUUGACCGCCUGGGGAGUACGGUCGCAAGAUUAAAACUUAAAUGAAUUGACGGGGUCAUAGCUGUUUCCU